UACGUAGGGUGCGAGCGUUAAUCGGAAUUACUGGGCGUAAAGCGUGCGCAGGCGGUCUGUUAAGACCGAUGUGAAAUCCCCGGGCUUAACCUGGGAACUGCAUUGGUGACUGGCAGGCUUUGAAUGUGGCAGAGGGAGGUAGAAUUCCACGUGUAGCAGUGAAAUGCGUAGAGAUGUGGAGGAAUACCGAUGGCGAAGGCAGCCUCCUGGGCCAACACUGACGCUCAUGCACGAAAGCGUGGGGAGCAAACAGG
rnacentral:rRNA from 1 species